AGAGCGAACGCUGGCGGCAGGCCUAACACAUGCAAGUCGAGCGCCCGUAGCAAUACGGGAGCGGCAGACGGGAUAGUAACACGUGGGAACGCGCCCUUCGGUUCGGAAUAACUCAGGGAAACUUGAGCUAAUACCGAAUACGCCCUUACGGGGAAAGAUUUAUUGCCGAAGGAACGGCCCGCGUCCGAUUAGCUAGUUGGUGAGGUAAUGGCUCACCAAGGCUACGAUCGGUAGCUGGUCUGAGAGGAUGACCAGCAUCACUGGGACUGAGACACGGCCCAGACUCCUACGGGAGGCAGCAGUGGGGAAUAUUGGACAAUGGGCGCAAGCCUGAUCCAGCCAUGCCGCGUGGAUGAUGAAGGCCUUAGGGUUGUAAAGUCCGUUUUAAACGGGGAAGAUAAUGACGGUACCCGUAGAAUAAGCCCCGGCUAACUUCGUGCCAGCAGCCGC
rnacentral:rRNA from 1 species